rnacentral:rRNA from 1 species
ACGGGAGGCAGCAGUGAGGAAUAUUGGUCAAUGGGCGGAAGCCUGAACCAGCCAAGUCGCGUGAAGGAUGAAGGUAUUAUGUAUUGUAAACUUCUUUAGCAGCAGAGUAAUAAGGCCCUCGUGAGGGCUGAUGCAAGUAUGCUGAAAAUAAGGAUCGGCUAACUCCGUGCCAGCAGCCGCGGUAAUACGGAAGGUCCGGGCGUUAUCCGGAUUUAUUGGGUUUAAAGGGAGCGUAGGCGGUAUUUUAAGCGUGUUGUGAAAUGUAGAUGCUCAACAUCUGAAUUGCAGCACGAACUGGAGUACUUGAGUGCGCAGGAAGUUGGCGGAAUUCGUCGUGUAGCGGUGAAAUGCUUAGAUAUGACGAAGAACUCCGAUUGCGAAGGCAGCUGACUGUAGCGUAACUGACGCUGAAGCUCGAAGGUGCGGGUAUCGAACAGGAUUAGAUACCCUGGUA